rnacentral:lncRNA from 1 species
AUGGCUUAAUGGUAAAGUCAUGUUCUCGAAUUUCCUUAUUAAAAAUCAUAUGAUUCAUGUCCUUAUUCACUCUAGGUUACAUCCCAUGAAAAAAAGUUCAGAAUUUAUUGGAUUUGAAGAUUUAAAAAGUUUUGAAAGUAUUCAACAACCAAUUCCCUUUUUGCAGCAUCAGAGCAUUGCUUCACACCAUUGGGAUCAAAAAGUUUUGAAAGCCUGAUC